GAUGAACGCUGACAGAAUGCUUAACACAUGCAAGUCAACUUUGGCGGACGGGGGAGUAACGCGUAAAGAACUUGCCUCUCAGUUAGUGACAACAUUUGGAAACGAAUGCUAAUACCAGCUACUGUGAGAUGGCUUUGCGUCCCAUUAGCAAGUUGGAGAGGUAACGGCUCACCAAGGCGAUGAUGCGUAGCCAGCCUGGGAGGGUGAUCGGCCACAAGGGGACUGAGACAGGGCCCUUACUCCUUCGGGAGGCAGCAGUGGAGAAUAUUGGACAAUGGGCCAAAGUCUGAUCCAGCAAUUCUGUGUGCACGAUGAAGUUUUCGGAAGGUAAAGUGCUUUGAGUUGGGAAGCGGUACCAACAGAAGAAGUGCCGGCUAAAUACGUGCCAGCAGCCGCGGUAAUAC
rnacentral:rRNA from 1 species